rnacentral:tRNA from 1 species
GGUAGCUCAGUGGUAGAGUGCUUGCCUUGCAUGCAAGAGGCCCUGAGUUUGAUUCCUCAGUACCA